GCCUUCGUGGUGUAAUGGUCAGCAUACUUAGCUCGUAACCGAGACGUCCGUGGUUCGAGUCUCGGUGAGGGGA
rfam:Stegodyphus mimosarum contig40499, whole genome shotgun sequence.